rnacentral:misc_RNA from 1 species
GAUGAAGAACGUAGCGAAAUGGGAUACGUAGUGUGAAUUGCAGAAUUCAGUGAAUCAUCGAAUCUUUGAACGCACAUUGCGCCCUUUGGUAUUCCAAAGGGCAUGCCUGUUCGAGCGUCAUUUGUACCCUCAAGCUUUGCUUGGUGUUGGGCGUCUUGUCUCCAGUCCGCUGGAGACUCGCCUUAAAGUCAUUGGCAGCCGGCCUACUGGUUUCGGAGCGCAGCACAAGUCGCACUCUUUUCCAGCCAAGGUCAGUGUCCAACAAGCCUUUUUUCAACUUUUGACCUCGGAUCAGGUAGGGAUACCCGCUGAACUUAAGCAUAUCAAUAAGCGGAGGA